AACGUACCAAAGUAUUUAUCCGACCCGAAAGGAUGACGCCCGACGUAAGUAUUAGCUAGUUGGUGGGGUAAAGGCCUACCAAGGCGACGAUCUUUAGCUGGUCUGAGAGGAUGAUCAGCCACACUGGGACUGAGACACGGCCCAGACUCCUACGGGAGGCAGCAGGUGGGGAAUAUUGGACAAUGGGCGAAAGCCUGAUCCAGCAAUGCCGCGUGAGUGAUGAAGGCCUUAGGGUUGUAAAGCUCUUUUACCAGGGAUGAUAAUGACAGUACCUGGAGAAUAAGCUCCGGCUAACUCCGUG
rnacentral:rRNA from 1 species